GUCGCCCAGUCUCAGAUCGACGACACGGCGGUGGUGGCCAUCCAGGGGAAGAAGAAUGGCCGGUAUCCGUGUUUCGAUGGCUUGAUCACUCCUUCGAUCUCGUACACACAGCUUCGGGCUACCAACCAGAGCCAGUUAGAGAGUACGGGGCGUUCACAGACUCCCUUAGCCCGCCAGCAUGCUGCAUAUAAGGAGUUUGUCGAGCAUAGGAAUCUCGAGGUGCGGGAGUACUUGAAACGAGUGAAGGCAAACGAUGAUUACAACCGUCAGAUGAUGACGGCUAUGUUGGCGUCUUGGACUAACCGCACGGAUCCACCACAAAUGGGACCCCCACCACCACCUGCGGGAGAACCCCCACAC